CCCCCCCCCCCCCCCCCCGCCCCUGAGUGACUCUUUCUGACCUGUCUCUGGGCCCUGAGGGUUGCUGUUAUUUGCUGUUUGUUUCUUACUUGCUUUGCAGAGUAAAGGGGAUCAUUACUCCCACCGAGAGCGCCAGAGUAGCUGGUUUGCCCUUGCAUAAGCAGAAGAAAAGCUACUCACUCUGAGUGGCUAGGUGUUAAGUUGGAGAUUGUUCUGGGUGUGAAACUCCAGGAAACCUUUGGACUGCUAAGAACUACAGGUUGCACUUCCUGUGCACUUUAUUGCAGAGUGCCCCCGAGUCUGAACUACGCUGUUAGCUUAGGUGAACCUGUGCCUAGGAAGAUAAACUGGCAUCAAGGAUAUCAGAAACCUUUCUUAAUAGGGCUCAUGGGUGAACUACAUAAAAAACUAUUGACCCUUUUCCUGAAAAUUCCUCUCAUGCUUCAAACAUACAUUUUUAUCACUAGCUUACAAAGAACAAUAAAUUAUUUUAUUGUCUUAUUAUAGUUUCAUUAAGGAUCUUAUUUUUGGC